AAAACUGUUACCUCAGUCCUUUCACGUAACAGAAGCCGGGGUUAUCGGUAACGAAACCCCG
rnacentral:sRNA from 1 species